rnacentral:rRNA from 1 species
AUGCACGCUGGCGGCGUGCCUCAUCCAUGCAAGUCGCGCGAACAGACGAGGAGCUUGCUCCUCUGACGUUAGCGGCGGACGGGUGAGCAACACGUGGAUAACCUACCUAUAAGACUGGGAUAACUUCGGGAAACCGGAGCUAAUACCGGAUAAUAUAUUGAACCGCAUGGUUCAAUAGUGAAAGACGGUUUUGCUGUCACUUAUAGAUGGAUCCGCGCCGCAUUAGCUAGUUGGUAAGGUAACGGCUUACCAAGGCAACGAUGCGUAGCCGACCUGAGAGGGUGAUCGGCCACACUGGAACUGAGACACGGUCCAGACUCCUACGGGAGGCAGCAGUAGGGAAUCUUCCGCAAUGGGCGAAAGCCUGACGGAGCAACGCCGCGUGAGUGAUGAAGGUCUUCGGAUCGUAAAACUCUGUUAUUAGGGAAGAACAAAUGUGUAAGUAACUAUGCACGUCUUGACGGUACCUAAUCAGAAAGCCACGGCUAACUACGUG